UCCUACGGGGGGCAGCAGUGGGGGAUAUUGCACAAUGGGGGGAACCCUGAUGCAGCGACGCCGCGUGGGUGAAGAAGCGCCUCGGCGCGUAAAGCCCUGUCAGCAGGGAAGAAAAUGACGGUACCUGAAGAAGAAGCCCCGGCUAACUACGUGCCAGCAGCCGCGGUAAUACGUAGGGGGCAAGCGUUAUCCGGAUUUACUGGGUGUAAAGGGAGCGUAGACGGCGGCGCAAGUCUGAAGUGAAAGCCCGUGGCUCAACCGCGGAACCGCUUCGGAAACUGCGAGGCUGGAGUGCUGGAGAGGUA
rnacentral:rRNA from 1 species